UACGUAGGGGGCAAGCGUUGUCCGGAUUUAUUGGGCGUAAAGAGCGUGUAGGCGGCCAGGUAGGUGGGUUGUGAAAACUGGAGGCUCAACCUUCAGAGGUCGACCCAAACCCCCCUGGCUAGAGUCCGGAAGAGGAGAGUGGAAUUCCUGGUGUAGCGGUGAAAUGCGCAGAUAUCAGGAGGAACACCGGUGGCGAAGGCGGGUCUCUGGGCCGAUACUGACGCUGAGGAGCGAAAGCGUGGGGAGCGAACAGG
rnacentral:rRNA from 1 species